rnacentral:rRNA from 1 species
UACGAAGGGGGGCUAGCGUUGUUCGGAUUUACUGGGCGUAAAGCGCACGUAGGCGGUUUGUUAAGUCAGGGGGUGAAAUCCCGGAGCUCAACUCCGGAACUGCCUUUGAUACUGGCAGCUAGAGUCCGGAAGAGGUAAGUGGAACUCCUAGUGUAGAGGUGGAAUUCGUAGAUAUUAGGAAGAACACCAGUGGCGAAGGCGGCUUACUGGUCCGGAACUGACGCUGAGGUGCGAAAGCGUGGGGAGCAAACAGG